rnacentral:tRNA from 1 species
GAUGGUAUAGUACAAGGGUACAGUGCGUGCUUAGCAUGCACGAGGUCCUGGGUUCAACCCCCAGCACCUCCA